GGUCCAGUGUGUGCUGGGAGUGCUUGUGCAGUAAGGAGGGUUCUUCCUCCACAGAUGCCUCACUGUUCCCCCAGUUUGCUCCAGUUUAUUUCUUUAUUUUUACGAUCUUAUGAAAUGCUGUUGACCAGAACUGGAGCAAUAAGACGAGAAGAAAGGAAGUAUUUGGAAAUAUUAAGAGAUGCUGGGCUGAAACAUCUUGCAUUAGUCACUGCUGCCGUGGGAAGCCAACGACUGUGAAAGAAUAUCUUUUCACAUUUCUUACAUAUUUAGAGACUCUGCCCUUUUCAAGAUCCCAUUGCGCACAUCCAUGGGGUUGUUAGGGAACCGGCUCUCUCCUCCAGAUAUCCCCAGUGCGUGCGGAAGUGUCUGGUUAAGUUUUUAUGCUAAUGCUUUGAGGGACCGGCUACAGUCUUCUGUAGCCAGGGAUGCGGUUCCAGCUAGAUGUGCUUGAAGGUCUUCUGCCAUCCAUGAGCCAUUUUCCAAGAUCAUUUCCAAGAUCACACCGAGAUUUGGUGUGAGCCCUCCAAAACAAAGCAAGGCUUUACCUUCGAGUCUGUGUUCAUAUGUAAUGCUGUUAGGCUGGGGCUUUCUUAACCUGCAUGUUUUUCAUACAUAGAUUCGGCCAACAAGGUUUAAAAAUAUAGUCAGACUCAUAUACUUAACAUUUGUAGAUUUUCUUCCUUGCUUUUAAAACCUGGGAAUAAUAACUAUGUGGAGACUCUUGCGUUGUACGAGGUAUUUUAAAUUAACCAGCUAUGUCAAAGUAUACAUAUCCAGUGGGAAGCUGCAGGUUCAGGUUAAACACUGUGUCGUUUUAUACAAAGGAUUUGAGCUUCCAUUAAUCUGACUUCCUUGGGACUCCUGGAACCAACCCCAAACAGACACCCAGGAACAGCUGCAAUGUAUUAAGACCGUCCCUGUGACCAGAAAGAUAAAUGGGCCCAGUCCCUUUAAACAGCUGCCCUCGUCCAGGUUUCUGUGGGCCCUGUCUGUGGUUGAAUUUUUGGGAUCCUGAGGACUCAGGAGGGAAAAGGUUAUGUUUUCCUCUAACCGCAGUGUGGUAUAAACGUCUUUCACGAAUGGCGACAAAGCUUAGGAAUGCUAACUGUACCCACAACUGUCACCGGGAAGAGUCACACAUUUUCAAAUUAUACUACAGGUGCUUUAUCUGCUCUGUCCCCUCCAAAGCUCCGACAUAUAUAUUAUACAUAACAAAUGCAUCCGUUAUAAAAAAUCAUAUGUUUUGAAAGGCGUUUGUAAUAUAGAACUUAUAAAAGGGGUGGAGUUUUUGACGGUUAUGGAAGGGGCAUAGGGAUUACGGAUUGUUGAGAAGCAGGCUCUGCAUGUGGCCAGAGCGCUUUCCAGCACAGCCUGCUCUUAUCCUCGGGGCUAAAUUUGAGCACAUUUGAGAAUAUUUUAGACCUGGAAGGAGGCUGGGCAUGAAAAUAACAACUGGGUCUAACCAAGCCUUUGAAACCACAGGCUGAUGGGAGACUCUGCCUGUGAAGUGUUCCGAAAACACUCUGUGUCAUCUGUUUUCCCGACACCCUUCUCACUUGGUAGAUAAGGGACAAACUUAUUUUCCAUGUUGCAAAAAUAGGAAAUGAGGUAUAGGGAGUCUGGGAGAAUUAUUACCCAAGAUUGCAGUGAGUCAGAGGCUUUUUGAGCACCACAGAAGCCAUGGCUCCCUGAUCAUGACCCCAGAUUUGCUCUCUGCAGGCCUUGCGGUUUUAGAGAAAAAUGUACUAAUUUCACUUUCACUUUUGUUCCUGUUUGGUUGCGGUACAAUCUUCAGUUUAGACAAAGAAAUCAUCAUUUUCGUUUUUAAACCUCCUCCCAUCCACCCCCCCCAACACACACACACAUACAUACACACACACACACACACACACACACACACACACACACACACACUACUGCCUUCCUUUUGAGACAAAGUCUUGCUAUAACCCUGGUUGGUUAGCCUGGAACUCUCUGUAUAAAGCAGACUGGACUUGAACUCACCGAGAUCUUCAUGCCUCCUGGGAUUAGAGGCAAGUGUCAACAUGCUGUGUCUUUGUUGUCAUUGUUUGCUUGUUUUUGAGACAGGGCCUCCUGUAGGCCAAGCUGACUUCUGACUGGGAGAUCCUGCACCGCUGACCCUCUGGCUUUGCCCUCCUAAGGACAUAGUUACAGAAUUUCUUCUUUGCGGGAAAUAUUGUUGAUGAUUCAGUUGAAUCUAAUUAAUCUAAUCAGUGCCUGUUUGGUGCAAGCCUCUUUUCUAGCCACUGAGAAGACACUGAAUUGAUUAACCCCAAUGUUACUGUGGAGGAGGGGCUAAAGGACCAAAGUAAACUUAAUUUUUCAAGCUCACGGGAGUUCUGAGGUCCUGAUAGAAGCCUUCAGUUUGGUACCGUGUGAUGAUCAGUACCUUGUAUCUGUCUUCCAGCUCGGACCCUCCAAUCUCACUUUUAAAUAAGUCACAAGAGCUUGCUAACUUCUCUUAGCGCUCCUUAGAAGCUUGUUUCUGGGGCUGGAGAGAUGGCUCAGUGGUUAGGCGCACAUACUGCCCUUGCAGAGGACCUCAGUUCAAUUCUCAGGACCCAUAUGAUGUGGCUGACAACUCCCUGGUCCUUCAGCUCCAGAAGGACCCAAAACCCUUGGCAACCAUGAGCACCGCCUGCACUUACCUCCGUGCCCUCCCCCCACAGGUUAAAACAUUACAAAUUUAAAAAAUUAAAAUAAUACUAAAUUUUUGUUUGCUUGUUUUAAGGUUCAUUUUUUUUAGUGUAGACACAUGGUGGCAAAGUUACUGGGUCAACGCAUAUAAAUUUAGAAGGCAGAGCAGAUAGGCAUCCGUGAUUACUUGUGCCACUGAAUUAUUUGUGUUGUAUAUUAUUUCCCUGCCAAUAAACUCUAUGAUUGUCAUGCCCUAAGCAACGGACACUUUUUAUGCGACAGAUC